UUUGACUCAACACGGGGAAACUCACCAGGUCCAGACAUAACUAGGAUUGACAGAUUGAUAGCUCUUUCAUGAUUUUAUGGGUGGUGGUGCAUGGCCGUUCUUAGUUGGUGGAGUGAUUUGUCUGGUUAAUUCCGAUAACGAACGAGACCUUAACCUGCUAAAUAGCCAGGCCGGCUUUCGCUGGUCGCCGGCUUCUUAGAGGGACUGUCAGCGUCUAGCUGACGGGCUAGGGUGGAUGAGUGGCUUUGAAAUUUUUCCCUCCUAAUAUAAGA
rnacentral:ncRNA from 1 species